UUGCGACGCGCGCGCGCAGGUCUGGCAAGUGCAGCGUGCGCAAAACCGCGCUUUCGAUUUACACAGUGAGCAACGUAAACGUCAGCCUAGGAAUGGAAAGAACACUGGAAAGCGCCCGAAAAAUCCUCACCGGAUAGCUUUUGAAACUGUCUGCCACGGUAGCUGCAAAUGCAAGCUACUUGCCAAAAUAUGCGCACCGGCGUGAUCGACCUGUGCAGCAGGUUGUUCGAAGCGAUCCAUAGCGAUCUGCUUCUGGAUGAGCAGCAGGAACAGCCGGCCACUGAUUACCGUCGACAGCACUUUGCGAGGCUGUUGCGAGGACAAAUGAAAACUAACGCUUUCCAUUCAACUCUGUUCCCUACGUCUGAUAAGCACAAUGGCAAGCACAUGGUGCAAUUUCAUGAUCAUCCCUAUGAUGCAUUGGACACUGAGGACAAGGACAUCACCUAAGGAUGCACUUAAGACAGCAAGUACACAAUAUAAUGCCCUACAAUGCUGAAUGCCUGACUGGUACUAAGGCAGCAUACAAGCUUGUGAGUUCCCGAGGAUUUGCCUGACUACACUAGCCUCGGAAGCCCGUACUUCACCGACGAUAUUGCCUUCACGAAGAUCUAUAGUUGCAUUAAGGGUUGGCUGACGAUGCGAAUGACCUACAUCGGAUGGAAGCGAUGUCAUCGCGUUGGCAUGCGAUGAACGUGUGGUGGUGCCAAAUGAUCACAUUGAAGAUAGUGAUACCUACGUUUCUUAAGAAAACAAGUAAAGAUUCAAUAAUGGGAACAUGCAGCCCUAUUCCCCUUCCCUUCGUUCCUUAUUAUAUUGGUUGUUUGGUCUUAAGCGCCAUGCUUUCUAUAACGCACUUUCAAUAUUUCUAAGAUGGAGAGUCGCUGAUGAAAUGCUUUUAGGGCGUUAUUUCUUGCACUGGCAAACUGCAGCAAGAAAGAAGA